rnacentral:rRNA from 1 species
GACGAACCUUGCUAACGUUAUUCGGAAUCACUGGGCGUAAAGGGCGCGUAGGCGGCGCGACAAGUCAAUGGUGAAAGCCCGAGGCUCAACUUCGGGUCGGCCACUGAUACUGUUGGGCUUGAGCACUGUAGAGGCAGGUGGAAUUCCGGGUGUAGCGGUGGAAUGCGUAGAGAUCCGGAAGAACACCGGUGGCGAAGGCGGCCUGCUGGGCAGUAGCUGACGCUGAGGCGCGACAGCGUGGGGAGCAAACAGG